rnacentral:misc_RNA from 1 species
GUGAAUCAUCGAAUCUUUGAACGCACAUUGCGCCCGCCAGUAUUCUGGCGGGCAUGCCUGUCCGAGCGUCAUUUCAACCCUCGAACCCCUCCGGGGGGUCGGCGUUGGGGAUCGGCCUCCUCUCACGGGGGCCGUCUCCGAAAUACAGUGGCGGUCUCGCCGCAGCCUCUCCUGCGCAGUAGUUUGCACACUCGCAUCGGGAGCGCGGCGCGUCCACAGCCGUUAAACACCCCAAACUUCUGAAAUGUUGACCUCGGAUCAGGUAGGAAUACCCGCUGAACUUAAGCAUAUCAAUAAGCGGAGGA